UACGUAGGGUGCAAGCGUUGUCCGGAAUUAUUGGGCGUAAAGAGCUCGUAGGCGGUUUGUCGCGUCGGCUGUGAAAUCCCGAGGCUCAACCUCGGGCCUGCAGUCGAUACGGGCAAACUAGAGUACGGCAGGGGAGACUGGAAUUCCUGGUGUAGCGGUGAAAUGCGCAGAUAUCAGGAGGAACACCGGUGGCGAAGGCGGGUCUCUGGGCCGAAACUGACGCUGAGGAGCGAAAGCGUGGGGAGCGAACAGG
rnacentral:rRNA from 1 species